rnacentral:rRNA from 1 species
UGGGGAAUAUUGCACAAUGGAGGGAACUCUGAUGCAGCGACGCCGCGUGAACGAAGAAGGCUUUCGAGGCGUAAAGUUCUUUUAGAUGGGAAGAUAAUGACGGUACCAUAAGAAAAAGCCCCGGCUAACUACGUGCCAGCAGCCGCGGUAAUACGUAGGGGGCUAGCGUUGUCCGGAAUCACUGGGCGUAAAGGGUUCGCAGGCGGAAAUGCAAGUCAGGUGUAAAAGGCAGUAGCUUAACUACUGUAAGCAUUUGAAACUGCAUAUCUUGAGAAGAGUAGAGUUAAGUGGAAUUUUUAGUGUAGCGGUGAAAUGCGUAGAUAUUAAAAAGAAUACCGGUGGCGAAGGCGACUUACUGGGCUCAUUCUGACGCUGAGGAACGAAAGCGUGGGUAGCAAACAGG